UACGGAGGGUGCGAGCGUUGUCCGGAAUCACUGGGCGUAAAGGGCGCGUAGGUGGCGUCGCAAGUCAACGGUGAAAGCUCGACGCUCAACGUCGAGUCGGCCGUCGAGACUGCGAGGCUUGAGCACUGUAGAGGCAGAUGGAAUUCCGGGUGUAGCGGUGGAAUGCGUAGAGAUCCGGAAGAACACCGGUGGCGAAGGCGGUCUGCUGGGCAGUUGCUGACACUGAGGCGCGACAGCGUGGGGAGCAACAGG
rnacentral:rRNA from 1 species